rnacentral:rRNA from 1 species
GAUGAACGCUGGCGGCGUGCCUAAUACAUGCAAGUCGAGCGAACAGAUGAGGAGCUUGCUCCUCUGACGUUAGCGGCGGACGGGUGAGUAACACGUGGAUAACCUACCUAUAAGACUGGGAUAACUUCGGGAAACCGGAGCUAAUACAGGAUAAUAUAUUGAACCGCAUGGUUCAAUAGUGAAAGACGGUUUUGCUGUCACUUAUAGAUGGAUCCGCGCCGCAUUAGCUAGUUGGUAAGGUAACGGCUUACCAAGGCAACGAUGCGUAGCCGACCUGAGAGGGUGAUCGGCCACACUGGAACUGAGACACGGUCCAGACUCCUACGGGAGGCAGCAGUAGGGAAUCUUCCGCAAUGGGCGAAAGCCUGACGGAGCAACGCCGCGUGAGUGAUGAAGGUCUUCGGAUCGUAAAACUCUGUUAUUAGGGAAGAACAAAUUUGUAAGUAACUAUGCACGUCUUGACGGUACCUAAUCAGAAAGCCACGGCUAACUACGUG